GGUAACGCCGUGCGAGAGUGUGGGGUAAGACGGAGGGGGCAAGCGGUAUCGGGGUGUGUUGGGGUUGAAGGGUCCGUAGGGGGACUUAUAAGUCAGGGGUGAAAGCCUGUCGCGUAACGGUAGAACUGCCAUUGAUACUGUAGGUGUUGAGUAUAUUUGAGGUAGGUGGAAUAAGUAGUGUAGCGGGGAAAUGCAUAGAUAUUACUUAGAACGCCAAUUGCGAAGGCAGGUUACCAAGAUAUAACUGACGCUGAGGGACGAAAGCGUGGGGAGCGAACAGGAUUAGAUACCCUUGUAGUC
rnacentral:rRNA from 1 species